UACAGAGGUCCCGAGCGUUGUUCGGAUUCACUGGGCGUAAAGGGUGCGUAGGUGGUGAGGUAAGUCGGAUGUGAAAUCUCCAAGCUCAACUUGGAAAUGGCAUUGGAAACUACCUUGCUCGAGGGUUUGAGGGGGGACUGGAAUACUUGGUGUAGCAGUGAAAUGCGUAAAUAUCAAGUGGAACACCAGUGGCGAAGGCGAGUCCCUGGAAAACUCCUGACACUGAGGCACGAAAUCUAGGGGAGCAAACAGG
rnacentral:rRNA from 1 species